UAGAACUAAUAUUCCGAAGGGUAGAAUGACAGAGUAACGCCUUGAAAUGCCCUCACUACAACCUGCGAAUGGCAACUGGAUAGGCAAUUUGAAAGUUGUUAUGGAGCUCGCCAAAGUCGGCUGAGAGAUACCGUAAGUUUUGCAGAAUAACUAUCUGCCAACUCGAAAGCUGUCCAGAGGUGGAUGGUGUAUCCUAUAGGCCGGGUGUCGCAUUA
rnacentral:ncRNA from 1 species